CCUUGCCUGUAUUUUUUUCAGAACCCUUCGUCUGAUGCAGAACGCAGGUUGCAUCGUUUGGAUGUUCAGAGGGCAUUGUCCUUCUUUGUUCAAAGGCCUAAACAGCCCAAGAUGGAUGAGUCCGUCAUUUCAAGAACACUGUUGUAAGGCCAGAGAGAAGGAAAUUAGAAGAAUACUGCAGAUUCUUUGCAGACAAUCCCAGGGGCACCUUGGCCUAGAAAUUUCCAAAAGGCAUCUGAAAAGAAAAUAAGUCAAGAUGAAUAUUUUCAAGAGCAAUAUCGGAAUAACACAAGAAUUUCAACACGUUUCCAAAACUGAUGUAAAAACCAAAUCAUGAAAAAUCAAGAACAUUAACAUAAUCCUCUGCUAGAUUAAUUGCAGAUAAUGAAAAGCUCUUGCAUAGCUUCUCGAAGACUGUUUGGGCUUUCACAAAUCUCUCAAGGGAAAGGAGUUCCAUAACUAAGAAUGCUUUUGAGCAUUGUGUUUUCAUUCAAAUUUGGAUUCCAUCUCUUGGUUCUAUUAUUUAUUAUUUAUAAAGCGCCAUUAGUGUAACAUGUUCUUCUGUCCUCUAGGUAGGCAAACAUAUAGCUUAUGGGAUCUGCUUUAUUUUGUCCUAGAACUCAAGAUCCACCAACUGGAGCCAGAUACAAAAUAGCUGGGGAGGAGGGGUGGGUGGAACCAGAAACAGCUAAGGGGAUGACAGCUAAGUGGAUGGAGCCAAAUUCCUUCUGCAUCCUAUGAGCCAUAUAUUAGGCUAGCCUGUAUAUACAAGUAUACUUCUACAACAAUAACAGUUUCAUCUGAUGAGGCGGGAUUCUGAUAUAAAUCUCUAAAACUGGCCAGCAGAGCAGCACAAAGACCUGAUCAAAUUAAUACUCACAUUUUACAGAUGAGAACUAUUGGGGCUGAGUGAUAAACACUUAGCACAAGAGUUUAAAAAAAAAAUCUGCAAUUUUAGUGGCUAUUGGGAAUCAGAAACCCCUGUCAAUUUACUGCAAAUUACCCAGAGGUGCAUUCAUUUGCAGCUGUACAGUCCCAGACCCUCCUUAAUGUGUCUAAGAUCCUUUAUCAACACCAUUAUGUUACAUGGCUUACAAGACAAAGCAUCCCCUAUAAACUAAAGUAAGAAAAGUAGAGAAGAAUAGCAUAUAUUGACAUAAAACUACUUUUGCCAGUUAUUUCUAGUAACAAACAAGAAGUUAAAUUUGGUCAUAUGUUGCAGAGGCAGUAAGAGUGGAUAUU